AGAGUUUGAUCAUGGCUCAGGAUGAACGCUGGCGGCGUGCCUAAUACAUGCAAGUCGAACGCUUUGUUUUUAAUUGAUCUGACGAGCUUGCUCUGAUUUGAUUUUAUCUGACAAAGAGCGGCGAACGGGUGAGUAACACGUGGGUAACCUACCUCUUAGCAGGGGAUAACAUUUGGAAACAAGUGCUAAUACCGUAUAAUACUAACAACCGCAUGGUUGUUAAUUGAAAGAUGGUUCUGCUAUCACUAAGAGAUGGACCCGCGGUGCAUUAGCUAGUUGGUAAGGUAAUGGCUUACCAAGGCGAUGAUGCGUAGCCGAGUUGAGAGACUGAUCGGCCACAAUGGGACUGAGACACGGCCCAUACUCCUACGGGAGGCAGCAGUAGGGAAUCUUCCACAAUGGGCGCAAGCCUGAUGGAGCAACGCCGCGUGUGUGAUGAAGGGUUUCGGCUCGUAAAACACUGUUAUAAGAGAAGAACGACAUUGAGAGUAACUGUUCAGUGUGUGACGGUAUCUUAUCAGAAAGGAACGGCUAAAUACGUGCCAGCAGCCGCGGUAAUACGUAUGUUCCAAGCGUUAUCCGGAUUUAUUGGGCGUAAAGCGAGCGCAGACGGUUAUUUAAGUCUGAAGUGAAAGCCCUCAGCUCAACUGAGGAAGGGCUUUGGAAACUGGAUAACUUGAGUGCAGUAGAGGAAAGUGGAACUCCAUGUGUAGCGGUGAAAUGCGUAGAUAUAUGGAAGAACACCGGUGGCGAAAGCGGCUUUCUGGACUGUAACUGACGUUGAGGCUCGAAAGUGUGGGUAGCAAACAGGAUUAGAUACCCUGGUAGUCC
rnacentral:rRNA from 1 species